GACGAACGCUGGCGGCGUGCUUAACACAUGCAAGUCGAACGAUGAAGCGCUGUCUUUUUGGUGGUGUGGAUUAGUGGCGAACGGGUGAGUAAUACGCGGGCAACCUGCCCCUCUGCUUCGGGAUAAGCUUUGGAAACGGGGUCUAAUACCGGAUGUGCCUGUCUGGUCGCAUGGCUGGGCGGGGAAAGAUGUUUUUCGGCGGGGGAUGGGCUCGCGGCCUAUCAGCUUGUUGGUGGGGUGACGGCCUACCAAGGCGUCGACGGGUAGCCGGCCUGAGAGGGUGGUCGGCCACACUGGGACUGAGAUACGGCCCAGACUCCUACGGGAGGCAGCAGUGGGGGAUAUUGCACAAUGGGCGCAAGCCUGAUGCAGCGACGCCGCGUGGGGGAUGGAGGCUUUCGGGUUGUAAACCCCUUUCGGCGCGGGACAAGGCUCCGUU
rnacentral:rRNA from 1 species